CACACACGCACACACACACACACACACACACACACACACACAGCCAUGCAGAGGCCAGUGGAAAUACCACAUUCACACACGCACAUUCACACAGCGGGAAGUUUGCCAAAAAUGGUUGGAUGGUUGUUUGUGUAGGGUAGCCCAAUGGGGGAAUCUAACAUGAGGCAGCCAUUUUGUUUUGCCUGGUCUGGAGGCUGGCUGUGGUGCUGGUGUGUGUGUGUGUGUGUGUGUGUGUGUGUGUGUGUGUGGUGCUGGUGUGUGAGGGAAGAGUAGAGUAGACUGGGGCUACCCAGGACGUACACACUGGCACUGCCAAUCACACACUCCCAACACUGUCUCUGAUUGGCUGUGGCAUGGCGUCUCCGGCCCCCUUGGCCAAUCACAAAACGGAAGAGAAAAGAUUUCUGUUUCUGUCUGAAGAGUUUGUUGAGUUUAUUUUUGUUUGUUUUUUUCCUCUCUCCCAAAGCACUGGAAAAAAAUAUGUGAUUUUUUUUUGCCUUUAUACAAGAAUUUCUGAAGUGCAUAUUUAUGCAUUUUUAUUUUAUGAUGUGAAAUCCCUCUAAACCACUCAUGUGUAUUUUAUUUGUGUUGUCCUUUUUUAUUUUAUUUUAUUUUAUUCUUCAUAAAUGACCUUUUCUAUCUCAAUGCAGAGCCAUUUAAAUAUGAGAAUAUUUAACCCACUUGCAUUUGGACUAUGGCAGGUAAAGAGCCGGCUUCCAUAUAUAUAUUUUUCUUUGUGUAAAAUAAAUCGUUUAAAUAUUCAUCAGGCUUUUUAGAGAUUCAAAAAAAACAUGUAUGAUGCAUUUUUAUAUUGAUUUGAUUUCUUUUGUAAGGAAUAAGCAGAUGAAAAGGAAUGAAUUUGAGUGAUUAUUCUUUUAAUUCUACUGGGUUUUAAUUGCGCUUUGCGAAUGUAAAGUUAUCUACUGUACAAUGGCGAGUUUGAAAACUCAAGCGUUAUGAUCUUUAUGGUGCCUUGAAGUCUGCUUGUGUUGAAAAAAACGUAUAAACUGCCCGAGUCUCCCAUGGCAACCAGCACGGAGGCACCCUGGGCAGCAAAGGCUUCUGGGAGCUCCCCAAACUGCCACGGCUCUCUGGACUUUAUGUUUCUUUUGUGUUUUUUUAUAAAUACAAAAUGGCCGUCAUCCUCCACUCCAACAAGCCUGGGAGCGCCCUGUCCUCUCCUCCUCUCCUCCUCUCCUCCUCUCC
ensembl:lncRNA